rnacentral:snRNA from 1 species
GGACGGGAGGGGGGUCUGACUGCAACACCUGUCACCACAUUGACUGCAGGGUUGAUCUGGCUGGCUGGGCGGGUGCCUCUCCCUCCCUCACCACUCCACGCGCAUCCUUCCCUAAGAGUCAAAGAGGAUGACCAAACAGGAGGACCAGCCUCCAGUCAAGGGCAAUGAGCAGCUGAGCUGCCGACUGGAACCUCCAAACAAGCUUAAAAUGCCAAGCUCAUAACACCUGGUAUACAGUG